GAGCGGCGGACGGGUGAGUAAUGCAUAGGAAUCUGCCCGAUAGUGGGGGAUAACCUGGGGAAACCCAGGCUAAUACCGCAUACGUCCUACGGGAGAAAGGGGGCUCCGGCUCCCGCUAUGGGAUGAGCCUAUGUCGGAUUAGCUAGUUGGUGAGGUAACGGCUCACCAAGGCCACGAUCCGUAGCUGGUCUGAGAGGAUGAUCAGCCACAUCGGGACUGAGACACGGCCCGAACUCCUACGGGAGGCAGCAGUGGGGAAUAUUGGACAAUGGGGGAAACCCUGAUCCAGCCAUGCCGCGUGUGUGAAGAAGGCCCUCGGGUUGUAAAGCACUUUCAGCGAGGAAGAACGCCUAGCGGUUAAUACCCGCUAGGAAAGACAUCACUCGCAGAAGAAGCACCGGCUAACUCCGUGCCAGCAGCCGCGGUAAUACGGAGGGUGCAAGCGUUAAUCGGAAUUACUGGGCGUAAAGCGCGCGUAGGUGGCUUGAUAAGCCGGUUGUGAAAGCCCCGGGCUCAACCUGGGAACGGCAUCCGGAACUGUCAAGCUAGAGUGCAG
rnacentral:rRNA from 1 species